rnacentral:rRNA from 1 species
UUAAGCGACUAAGCGUACACGGUGGAUGCCCUGGCAGUCAGAGGCGAUGAAGGACGUGCUAAUCUGCGAUAAGCGUCGGUAAGGUGAUAUGAACCGUUAUAACCGGCGAUUUCCGAAUGGGGAAACCCAGUGUGUUUCGACACACUAUCAUUAACUGAAUCCAUAGGUUAAUGAGGCGAACCGGGGGAACUGAAACAUCUAAGUACCCCGAGGAAAAGAAAUCAACCGAGAUUCCCCCAGUAGCGGCGAGCGAACGGGGAGCAGCCCAGAGCCUGAAUCAGUGUGUGUGUUAGUGGAAGCGUCUGGAAAGGCGCGCGAUACAGGGUGACAGCCCCGUACACAAAAAUGCACAUAUUGUGAGCUCGAUGAGUAGGGCGGGACACGUGGUAUCCUGUCUGAAUAUGGGGGGACCAUCCUCCAAGGCUAAAUACUCCUGACUGACCGAUAGUGAACCAGUACCGUGAGGGAAAGGCGAAAAGAACCCCGGCGAGGGGAGUGAAAAAGAACCUGAAACCGUGUACGUACAAGCAGUGGGAGCCUCUUUAUGGGGUGACUGCGUACCUUUUGUAUAAUGGGUCAGCGACUUAUAUUCUGUAGCAAGGUUAACCGAAUAGGGGAGCCGAAGGGAAACCGAGUCUUAACUGGGCGUUAAGUUGCAGGGUAUAGACCCGAAACCCGGUGAUCUAGCCAUGGGCAGGUUGAAGGUUGGGUAACACUAACUGGAGGACCGAACCGACUAAUGUUGAAAAAUUAGCGGAUGACUUGUGGCUGGGGGUGAAAGGCCAAUCAAACCGGGAGAUAGCUGGUUCUCCCCGAAAGCUAUUUAGGUAGCGCCUCGUGAAUUCAUCUCCGGGGGUAGAGCACUGUUUCGGCAAGGGGGUCAUCCCGACUUACCAACCCGAUGCAAACUGCGAAUACCGGAGAAUGUUAUCACGGGAGACACACGGCGGGUGCUAACGUCCGUCGUGAAGAGGGAAACAACCCAGACCGCCAGCUAAGGUCCCAAAGUCAUGGUUAAGUGGGAAACGAUGUGGGAAGGCCCAGACAGCCAGGAUGUUGGCUUAGAAGCAGCCAUCAUUUAAAGAAAGCGUAAUAGCUCACUGGUCGAGUCGGCCUGCGCGGAAGAUGUAACGGGGCUAAACCAUGCACCGAAGCUGCGGCAGCGACACUAUGUGUUGUUGGGUAGGGGAGCGUUCUGUAAGCCUGUGAAGGUGUGCUGUGAGGUAUGCUGGAGGUAUCAGAAGUGCGAAUGCUGACAUAAGUAACGAUAAAGCGGGUGAAAAGCCCGCUCGCCGGAAGACCAAGGGUUCCUGUCCAACGUUAAUCGGGGCAGGGUGAGUCGACCCCUAAGGCGAGGCCGAAAGGCGUAGUCGAUGGGAAACAGGUUAAUAUUCCUGUACUUGGUGUUACUGCGAAGGGGGGACGGAGAAGGCUAUGUUGGCCGGGCGACGGUUGUCCCGGUUUAAGCGUGUAGGCUGGUUUUCCAGGCAAAUCCGGAAAAUCAAGGCUGAGGCGUGAUGACGAGGCACUACGGUGCUGAAGCAACAAAUGCCCUGCUUCCAGGAAAAGCCUCUAAGCAUCAGGUAACAUCAAAUCGUACCCCAAACCGACACAGGUGGUCAGGUAGAGAAUACCAAGGCGCUUGAGAGAACUCGGGUGAAGGAACUAGGCAAAAUGGUGCCGUAACUUCGGGAGAAGGCACGCUGAUAUGUAGGUGAAGUCCCUUGCGGAUGGAGCUGAAAUCAGUCGAAGAUACCAGCUGGCUGCAACUGUUUAUUAAAAACACAGCACUGUGCAAACACGAAAGUGGACGUAUACGGUGUGACGCCUGCCCGGUGCCGGAAGGUUAAUUGAUGGGGUUAGCGGUAACGCGAAGCUCUUGAUCGAAGCCCCGGUAAACGGCGGCCGUAACUAUAACGGUCCUAAGGUAGCGAAAUUCCUUGUCGGGUAAGUUCCGACCUGCACGAAUGGCGUAAUGAUGGCCAGGCUGUCUCCACCCGAGACUCAGUGAAAUUGAACUCGCUGUGAAGAUGCAGUGUACCCGCGGCAAGACGGAAAGACCCCGUGAACCUUUACUAUAGCUUGACACUGAACAUUGAGCCUUGAUGUGUAGGAUAGGUGGGAGGCUUUGAAGUGUGGACGCCAGUCUGCAUGGAGCCGACCUUGAAAUACCACCCUUUAAUGUUUGAUGUUCUAACGUUGGCCCCUAAUCGGGGUUGCGGACAGUGUCUGGUGGGUAGUUUGACUGGGGCGGUCUCCUCCUAAAGAGUAACGGAGGAGCACGAAGGUUGGCUAAUCCUGGUCGGACAUCAGGAGGUUAGUGCAAUGGCAUAAGCCAGCUUGACUGCGAGCGUGACGGCGCGAGCAGGUGCGAAAGCAGGUCAUAGUGAUCCGGUGGUUCUGAAUGGAAGGGCCAUCGCUCAACGGAUAAAAGGUACUCCGGGGAUAACAGGCUGAUACCGCCCAAGAGUUCAUAUCGACGGCGGUGUUUGGCACCUCGAUGUCGGCUCAUCACAUCCUGGGGCUGAAGUAGGUCCCAAGGGUAUGGCUGUUCGCCAUUUAAAGUGGUACGCGAGCUGGGUUUAGAACGUCGUGAGACAGUUCGGUCCCUAUCUGCCGUGGGCGCUGGAGAACUGAGGGGGGCUGCUCCUAGUACGAGAGGACCGGAGUGGACGCAUCACUGGUGUUCGGGUUGUCAUGCCAAUGGCACUGCCCGGUAGCUAAAUGCGGAAGAGAUAAGUGCUGAAAGCAUCUAAGCACGAAACUUGCCCCGAGAUGAGUUCUCCCUGACCCUUUAAGGGUCCUGAAGGAACGUUGAAGACGACGACGUUGAUAGGCCGGGUGUGUAAGCGCAGCGAUGCGUUGAGCUAACCGGUACUAAUGAACCGUGAGGCUUAACCUU